CUCAGUAACACGUGGAUAAUCUGCCCUAUGGUGGAGGAUAACCCCGGGAAACUGGGGAUAAUACUCCAUAAGUCAGGAGUACUGGAAUGUCUCCUAACUGAAAGUUGCGGCGCCAUAGGAUGAAUCUGCGGCCGAUUAGGUAGUUGUUGGGGUAACGGCCCAACAAGCCCGUAAUCGGUACGGGUUGUGGGAGCAAGAGCCCGGAGAUGGAAUCUGAGACACGAUUCCAGGCCCUACGGGGCGCAGCAGGCGCGAAAACUUUACAAUGCAGGAAACUGUGAUAAGGGAACCCCGAGUGCCCGUACACGCGGGCUGUCCCGGUGUUUAAAACACAUCGGAAGAAAGGGCCGGGCAAGACCGGUGCCAGCCGCCGCGGUAAUACCGGCGGCUCGAGUGGUGACCACUUUUAUUGGGCUUAAAGCGUUCGUAGCUUGAUUUUUAAGUCUCUUGGGAAAUCUCACGGCUUAACUGUGAGGCGUCUAAGAGAUACUGGGAAUCUAGGGACCGGGAGAGGUAAGAGGUACUUCAGGGGUAGAAGUGAAAUUCUGUAAUCCUUGAGGGACCACCGAUGGCGAAGGCAUCUUACCAGAACGGCUUCGACAGUGAGGAACGAAAGCUGGGGGAGCGAACGGGAUUAGAUACCCCGGUAGUCCCAGCCGUAAACUAUGCGCGUUAGGUGUGCCUGUAACUACGAGUUACCGGGGUGCCGAAGUGAAAACGUGAAACGUGCCGCCUGGGAAGUACGGUCGCAAGGCUGAAACUUAAAGGAAUUGGCGGGGGAGCACCACAACGGGUGGAGCCUGCGGUUUAAUUGGACUCAACGCCGGGCAGCUCACCGGAUAGGACAGCGGAAUGAUAGCCGGGCUGAAGACCUUGCUUGACCAGCUGAGAGGAGGUGCAUGGCCGUCGUCAGUUCGUACUGUGAAGCAUCCUGUUUAGUCAGGCAACGAGCGAGACCCACGCCAACAGUUGCUAGCAUGUUCUCCGGAAUGAUGAGGACACUGUUGGGACCGCCUCUGCUAAAGAGGUGAAAGAGUGGACGACGGU
rnacentral:rRNA from 1 species